ACAGUGAAAGCCGUGCUGAACGCGCAGGAGUCAGCAGAGGUCAUAGUACCGGGGGAAAACUUCCGGGAAGGGC
rnacentral:ncRNA from 1 species